GGUCCUGUAGCUCAGUGGUUAGAGCGAUGGUCUUAUGAGCCAUAGGUCGUGAGUUCGAUCCCCGCCGGGGCUA
rnacentral:tRNA from 1 species